rnacentral:lncRNA from 10 species
CUGACAAUGGCCGCUCGGAGCAAGUGGCAGUUGCAGGCCAGCCCGCCUUCCCUGCCCUCACUCCCUGGCACAGUCGCUGGAGUGUCCCUCGGAUCAUACUUCUGUGUCUGCGGUCCAACCCUUAAAUUGUACCAAUAAACUCAUAAAAUGGGCCAAAUGGAGAAUUUCUGGACUUGGCAUGGCUCUCCCUCAACCCAGAGAAGAAGAAAUAUAAUUUCAUAUGGAUGUUCUCAAUUCAGAAUUUUAAUUUUCUCUGUUCAAGAUUUAUAAAAUUUGUUAAUUAGAGAUAUUAUUUCAGUUUGGGUCUCAUUUUCCAAAUUUCUCAGGAUACCUAAAAUCUAUUGCCAUUUGCAAGGAAUUGAAUUGCAUUCCCCCCAAGUUCCUAAGUUGCACUAAUUCCUAACCACUAAUGAGACUGUAUUUAAAGAUAGGGCCUUUAGGAGGGAAUUAAGGUGACACGAAGUCAUAAGUGUGUAGCCCUGAUCUGAUGAGAUUAGUAUGCUUACAAGAAGAGACACCAGAAAGCACCACGUCUGCCUCUUUCUCCCCCACACCACAUCUGCCACGUGAAGACACAACGAGAAGGCAGCAUUUGCAAACCAGGAAGAAGACUCACACCAAGAACAGAGUCCACCCACACUUUGAUCUCCAUCCGCACUUCGAUCUUUGACUUCCAGCCUCCAGGACUUCAAGACAUCAAUUUCUGUUGUUUAAGCCCCUCAGUCUAUGGCAUUUUCUUAUGGCAGCCCACACAGACUGACUUCACUAUGUAGUUCUCAGAUAAAACUUAGAUGAUUUCCUUUUAUAAGUUAGAAUUAACUUGCAUUUACUGUUUCAGUCGUAAGUUUCUUGAAUCCUUUAAUACUUGACAGGCACUGUAGUAGUUACCUGCACUAACUACCACUACAUUUACCAUUCACAGUAACCUGGGAAAUAAUUUUUUCAAUUUUCCCCAUUUUCUAUAAAGGGAAACUGAGUAAAAGGGUGGUUUGAAAGGGCAAGUGAGUGGCAAAUGAGGUCCACUGGAGACAAAAGUCUGCUUUCACUCAUCAUGCUGCCCUGAAUGAAAACCAUGAAGCCAAAUUUUGAACCAACUUUUCAUUGUCUGCUGCUAAUUUGCAGCUGCCGCACUGGGAUGCCUCUUCUAUCACGCUUUGUGUUUGAAUGUUGGGUGUAGUACUUGGAGGCCUGCAGAGACUGAUGCUGUUGAUAGAUGUCAUCUCUUGUGAGCGCCAGUUGGCCAAGCUUCCUCGGAUGUGAACCACGUAUAGGCAGCCCCUGACAGUCUCACAACAGAGUGGUUUCAAAAUGGAACAAUAAUUUUCUGGAAACUCCACCUCACCCUGUAAAAGUGAAGAUUGGCACAAAGCCAUUGUUGUAGUCACUGAAGAAGGGGAGCCAGGAGGACCCUCGCUUUUCCUUUAAGAUCCGACUCAGAAUGGGAUUCUCUGCGAUGCCUCCACGACCCCUCAUCUGACCUAGGCUGGGUUGGGCAUUCCUCCUCUCUGUCCUCACAUCACUGUUAC